UCAUUUCCCUCUCUUUCUCUUUCACUCACCCAAACCCUAGCCGCCCCCAAACCCCUCGUCUCUCUCUCAAACUCACUCCAAACCCUCGCUGCCCAGAAUUCCCACACCGGCGGUGCCACUCCAAAUCCCCUCAAACUCGUACCCUAUGACCCUCAUACCCUCCUAAUCCCUAAUCCCCCAUCAAUUACAUCAGAAACUCCACCAAAAUUAGCGAAUCUUAGAUCUAAAAUUCUAGAAAAAUCCUAGUCUGGUUUAUUUUUAAAUUGCUUUGGUGCUUUUGUUAGUUCAAGACUCACAUGCAUCGAGUGAUCUUGAUGAGAGCAAUUAUUUUAGGCUAGUCUCGACCCAUUUCGAAGUUACCGAAGUCCGGUCCAUUCAUCGUUCGCGGCUAGAGUUCAUCAUUUCCGUUGCUCGUUGGUCUGUUUCGUUUGCUCAUUGCUUUAGCGUUUAAAUUAGUACUCUUUUCCCUCAUUUGUUCUGGCUCUGUUUUUUUUUUUUUUUUUUGGUGUGUGUUUGUUUUUCUUUCUUUCUCAUUUUCUUUUUUUUUUCCAGCUGGUUGAUUAAACUUCGUCGUUAAUUGCAUGCUCAAUUAGUUCAACUAAUAAACUGAUUUAGAUUAAUUAAAAGUUAAGUACUUAGUAAAAUCUCUGAUUUUAUUUGAAAUUCAAAUAUGGCAUGUGUUGUUUCAUUCUUUUGUGGGCUGUUUUCUUUAAGGUCGGAUCUGGGUUUGGUCUUGGGCCAUUUAGGUCAUAGCAUUUGGCCCAAACCUAAGUAGAUAGUCUGCUUCUAGAAGUGGCAGCUGGCAUUUUUCAGUUAGAAAAGAUUCCCUCCCCUCGGUUAUUUUCUUCCCUGAAUUCACACUGACAGAAUAUUCACACACUCCCUCUCCCUCAUAAAAAAAAGGACACUCUUACAUUCUAUAAAGGAGGACUCUUCCUCACAUUCUAGAGGACAGAAAAAAAAGGGACUGGCAUAUUCACUCACUGGGUUACACAUACAGAAUUCACUCUGUAUUUUUUAUUUUUUCUACUCUCAUCUCAUACGGAUUUUGGGUCAUUUCUGGAUUUCUGGGUUUGAGUUUGAAGCUGUUGUGUUGUUGGUUUUCUGCUGCUGCUUUUCUUGCUGCUGCUUCUGCCCAGUUUUUUUUUAGAGAUUUAUUUUCUCUUUUACUUAUCUUUGCUGCUCUAAGCUGGACUUUGCCAAAACCAGUGUCUUAUUUUCCUGUUGCUUUUGUUCCACUCCAGGUAUUUCUUUUGAACUUUGGAUUGCUAAUUAGAUGGGAAAUGUGUCUCUGAUGGAAGACGCAUGUGGAUAAUGAAGUUAAUGGAAUUAGUUUCAUUCAGCUCUAAAGCUUUGUUGCUUUAUCUCUGCUUUUGGUAUUUUGUCUCCCUAGUGUCGUAUUCUGCUUUAAGGUUUACAUAAGAAGAAACAUAGAUUUAUUGCUUGUUGUAGUUUAUUUAUGGUUGUAAUCAACCAAUAUGUAAAUAACGAUGAAGCUGUCUCUACUCCUCGUCAUUUUAAAAUACUUAGUCUGUCAAAUACCGAGUACACUGAGAAAUAAGGAUAUGAGGUGAAUUCAUAAAUAACUGUAUGCGUUGUUUGGACAUUGUUCGAAUUCCUUGGAUUUUGAACUUUGAAAUUCUGUUUGUUUUUUUGUGCAGAAUUAGUAUGAAAUGAACAUGUAAUGACUAUAUUUU
rnacentral:lncRNA from 1 species